rnacentral:rRNA from 1 species
AGUGAACGCUGGCGGCAGGCCUAACACAUGCAAGUCGAGCGGCAGCGGGUCCUUCGGGAUGCCGGCGAGCGGCGGACGGGUGAGGAAUACAUCGGAAUCUGCCCUGUCGUGGGGGAUAACCUAGGGAAACUUAGGCUAAUACCGCAUACGACCUACGGGUGAAAGCGGGGGAUCGCAAGACCUCGCGCGACAGGAUGAGCCGAUGUCCGAUUAGCUAGUUGGCGGGGUAAAGGCCCACCAAGGCGACGAUCGGUAGCUGGUCUGAGAGGAUGAUCAGCCACACUGGGACUGAGACACGGCCCAGACGCCUACGGGAGGCAGCAGUGGGGAAUAUUGGACAAUGGGCGCAAGCCUGAUCCAGCCAUGCCGCGUGGGUGAAGAAGGCCUUCGGGUUGUAAAGCCCUUUUGUCCGGGAAGAAAUCGUCUGGGCUAAUACCCCGGGCGGAUGACGGUACCGGAAGAAUAAGCACCGGCUAACUUCGUG